CAAGAAAAUACAAACAAAACAGAUAAACAAUUUGCAAAAAACCCCAGAAUACUGUACAGAAAGCUGGCAAAUGACACAAUAGAAGUACAACAGCCAAUUGAGAGAGAAGAAAUUGAACAAUUCUGGAGACCUCUCUUUGAAAACCCAAAACAACAUCAAGAGGCUGAGUGGAUUGAAAAAAUAAAACAGAAAAACAAAGACAAAC